rnacentral:rRNA from 1 species
AAUUCGAAGCAAACGCGCAGAACCUUACCAGCCCUUGACAUCCCGGUCGCGGAUCGCAGAGAUGCUUUCCUUCAGUUCGGCUGGACCGGUGACAGGUGCUGCAUGGCUGUCGUCAGCUCGUGUCGUGAGAUGUUGGGUUAAGUCCCGCAACGAGCGCAACCCCGCCUUCAGUUGCCAACGGUUCGGCCGUGCACUCUGGAGGAACUGCCUGUGACAAGCAGGAGGAAGGUGGGGAUGACGUCAAGUCCUCAUGGCCCUUAUGGGCUGGGCUACACACGUGCUACAAUGGCGGUGACAGAGGGAUGCAAUACCGCGAGGUGGAGCAAAUCCCUAAAAGCCGUCUCAGUUCGGAUUGUUCUCUGCAACUCGAGUGCAUGAAGUUGGAAUCGCUAGUAAUCGCAGAUCAGCACGCUGCGGUGAAUACGUUCCCGGGCCUU